ensembl:snoRNA U3 Small nucleolar RNA U3
AAGGUUGUACAUUCCGGGAUCAUUUGUGUAGUUCAUUACUAGAGAGUUUCACAAAUCGUGUAGACUACCGGAAGCCAUGAUGAAGAGGCAUAGUGUUCCUUUCUGAGCAUGAAGCUGGUUCUUGGUGUUGCUUUGCUGCAACUGCCAUUUGUCAGUGGGCAGGGAACACAGUUUGAGCAGC